GUUUACAAAUUUUUUUUCAAUGCCACUUUGUCAAUACAAAACUUGCCCAAGUUCACAAUAGUAUAAUCGAAAUUCGAACAUUUCAAACGAAAUUCGUGAUACGAAUUUUUCGUUUGUAAGAAUAAAAAUACGUUGGAAUGAUUUAUUCACACGAUGUUUACGAUAAGGCUGAUUAUCUGAAGAAAUCGUAAAAAUAUAAUAUUUCUGCAUACGAGAAAAAAUUUAAAACUUUCCGCUUCAAGUAGCUAUAGUAAUUAAGACUGAUUUAGGUGCCUGGUCACAACGGUAUACGGUAUUCGGUGGUCGAUUACCAGCAGCAGUGCAGACGCAAGGACCUUCUGGCCCAGGGUAAGUGAUAAGAGGUUCAAGUAACACUUCGCUCUCGGCAAGGUACACCUUUCAGUGCUUGUAAGAGUUCUAACUAGACACUGUCCGAUCGGGACUCAUGUAGUAAUUUGAAUAUCUUACUGGAUGCCAGCUGCCUCAGCUCUUUGGAAGCAAAUUGGAUAGAAUCAUCUCAACACUUACUUCUCAAAUGUCCCGCUUUUGCCAGAUUAAGGUAAAAAUACCUCAGAUCUAAUACCUUUAGACAUCCAGGUGAAAUAGCGAAAAUAGAAAUCAAACACCUAAGCAGAUUUGUGAUAAGUUCAGGGCGCUUUUCUCAAUAGCUGAUAUUCAACUACAGGAGUUUUUCGUUUGGCAUCACAAAGGAUUCUACAUAAUAGCCUAAGUGUGAUCCGCUCGCAAUGCUGAGGGAUCAGCCAAAUAAACUAACAGAACCUUCCAAGCGCAUUCAAGUUCGUUUUUCUCUUCGUUUGGAAAGGAAGAAACUUUCUUUUUCGUAUGUGUAAGCUUAUCUAAAGCUAUAUAUUUGCGUUCAAGCAUUGGGUCAUGCACUAAUGUGAAUCAGUUUUCCUCACUUCACACAUUAUGGUCCAUUCUAAACGUUUUUACUUUAAUUGGCUCAAGUAUAUUUCAAGGUUAAAUGCAAUUUUAUUACAACCACAAGCGCAAGUAGUAAUUGAUUUGCGAAAUCGAGAGUAUUAAAUCAAAAAUAAGCAGACAAUGACUCAGUCCAGAAAUCGUUAAAUCAAAACUAUUAAUUUGAUUUUUUAAUUACAUUUCAUAUACUCGUAUGUAUGCCGCACACGGGGGCCAAUCUAAUCAAGAAAACUACAUUCCUGGGGGUCAAUAGCCGAAAACAACAUUUCGCUUUUAUGCACAAAUUCGGAAAAUGCACUGAAAAGCACCGAACAAUGGCAAUUGCAGUCGCCGCCUGAACGAAAGCCGCAACAACAACAACGAGUAAACGAGCAAAAUAACAAUUAUAAUAACAACAGCGCAGAUAAUAAAAGCGACAAGAAAUAUUUCUGUUGCCAUAAAUUUAUUAAGAUACCUCACGGCAAUGCAACGGGGGCGAAACAGACAGACACACAAUCGCUGAACACCAACAAUAUUAGUACGCUGCACGAGCGCGAAUUUUAAAUAAAAAUUUCAUUAUUAGACGAAGGCGAAAACAAAAGCAACGACAAAAAAAAAAAAUAAAAAAAAAAAAACAGAAAAUAAAUUUAAUAUAAAAUUGAAAUCAAACUAUUAAUUAAGAAAUUCCAGCAAAUGCAUUGCCGGCGCACAGUGGUACCAGAAUGAGUUUUAAGCUCUGUAGAUAGAUUUUUAUUACAAACUUCUUUGACAGCAACACAUUUCGAGAAAACCUUUUAGUGUUGAGGAAUCCGCAUUUUCGAUUAUCCGCAUAUCAGUGUUGAAUAUCGAUUCAUGCGUAUAAAAUUUGGAUGAUGAGUAUAUUUGGUAAAAAUACUGUUGGGAAAUGAUCCGGCUAUACGGGUUUACAAAGAUCCGGUUUAAAUUUUGAAUAACAUUUUACAGGUAUCAAAAAAAAAAGUUAAGGAAUAAAAAAAUUACUCAUGACCUAGA